UUCCUAUUGGCGGAAUAUAUUGCGAAGUCAAAUCGAGCGUGCCUAUUGGUUCGGAAUAUUGGAAAGUCGUAGUUUCAACCGUUCCGAGAGGUGACAUACUGCUGAAAGUCGUGGAGCAAAAAUUCGUCUCGUCGAGCGUUAUCCUGUUGUUAGUACCUUCAUUUCGACUUUAUCAACGAUUCUACACGUCUAUCUGGUUCAUUCAAAUAGUACAUUAUUGGCUAGUCACAUGACUGAAAGAAUAGGGGUUCGCAUCACGGACACCACAAGCGAUUAACAAUCGAUAAUUUGAACUGAUACAAGAUGGACGUCAUAGAUGAUUAUUAGUAAAUCGCGUCGUUGAUUUCUCAUGCAGAUUUGGUAAUGAUUGAGGUAUUAUAACAAAGCAAACUUUUUCAUAAUUUCUACCUUUUCCUGUGCUUCGGGAAGGACGCAGUGAUGCUUCAAAAUUAGAUUUGAAUUAGCAUGUUUAUCACUCUUUCCUCUUCCUCCUGCUUCCUGAAAAAAGACCUAUUGGGGCUUCAAAAGCCAAGAAUUUUUUUCUAUAAUGGGAUUGCAUGGCUCCUCCUUGAUGACGGUCUUCACGACGACUUUCCCUGGGUUAUCACAGCAUCGAUGAUUACGUCCCUCGCAUCUUAUCGUGAGUCGCAUGCAUU